GCCCGGCUAGCUCAAUCGGUAGAGCGUGAGACUCUUAUCAAGAGUACAUCUCAAGGUUGCGGGUUCGACCCCCGCGUUGGGCU
rnacentral:tRNA from 1 species